AUAUUUAUCUGGAUGAGGGAGACAUCAUGAUCACAAGGUGAUUUUCUCAGGGAAAAACUUACUCAUUGCACUCUGUGUGUGCUGACUUCUGUGACCUCCCCAAAUGUGGGGAACUCCACUGCAUAAUUUGUGGCAGUGGGGGACUGCAUUCAUGCUCUCCUUUG